UCACCUAUCUGGCUGUAUUAUAUAUAUAUACCCCACUGCGCACUCACUCACCAGUAAAGCAACCAAUUUUCAUAUAUAUAUAUAUAUAUAUUGAAGUAAAUUGUAAUUGGUGAGUGAAAAUAAACCCUACCAACCCCAUUUUUUCCCUCUAUAAAGCUGGUAUACAUAUUAUAUAAUGGUAGAGUGGUCCUUGAAAGUUUUUGGAACACCCUUCUUCUUCUUCUUCUUCUUCUUCUAUCACUAUCUGUGUUUUUUUAGAGCUUUUGUGAGACCAAAUUUAGUGAUUUUUUUCCCCUUCUUUUUUCUUCUUUUAAAGUUCUGAUCAUGCUUUUCCACAGCUUUCUUGAACUUUCUUUGUUUUCCAUCAUAAAAGAAUUAGCUAAUAGCUAGAUAUACGUAUAUAUAUAUGUGUAUGUAUAUACCAUGGAAGCUCAAGAAAGCUGUGGGAGAACAUGAUAACAAUUCAGGACUUGCUUUUUUUUCUGGUUUAAGUUAGAUAUAUACACAUUGAAGACGAACAAGCUUUUCUCAGAAUAAAGGUUUCUGAUGCUGAAUUGCAAGGUGGGUUUUCCAUCUUUUUCAUGAAUAUUAUAUAUAUAUGUUUUCCUUGAUGAUUUUAUACAUCUCUUGCCAUGCAUGAACAUGGAGACAAUAACUAGACUUUAAUUUAUCUCAUAUUGAACUAAAUCAUCUUCUUAUUUAAAUUUUUUUUAACAAUAAUCUUUGUUAUUUCCAGCAUUUUAAUUGAUUCAAAGAUUAUGAUUUUUUUUUCUUUUUUUGACAAUCAACAAAGUUGAUAGUUCUUAUUGUUUGUCCUUUGCUCUUUCACUCUAAUUACCAUGUGGGAAAAAAAUAGUCAACCUUUGGCUUCACUCUCUUUCGAUCGAUAUAAAUAUCGUGUUUAUAUUUUAUAUAAUUUUCGCAUUUUUAAUAAUUUAUCUUCUUUUUUUAUCUUCUCCUACAAUGAGUUUCGCAUGGAAGCAAUUAAUGUCCAGUGUUGUAAUAAUUGAGUUUUUCUUGUUCUUUUGGAUUAUUUAACCUACAUAUAUCUUAUAUAGGAUUAAUCCCUCUAAGACCCCUACUUCCUUUUUUUUUUUUUUAAUAACGAUAAGCCAGGCAUUAAUUGUUCAUCGCAUUAAUUCAUAUCGAAUUUCUUAAUAAAAAUUCUCAUAUAAUAUAUUGACUUUAUUUUAAUAACACCAUUAUUAUCACAAAAUUUAAAAAUUACGAGUUUAAACGUGUUUAAACACAUAAUAACAUUUAAUGUUAUCACUAUGAUAUUAUAAUUUAUACAACUUUUCGUACAUCCUUCAAAUGGUGGUGGAUUUUUUACUUUAAAAAUUUUUAAAUACCCUAUUUAAAGAUUAGUAAAAGAUUAAGAUUCCAAUUUUAAAUUUAUUGAAUAUUCAUCCAAAAAAACAACAUUGGUGGACAAAAGAAUAGGUAAGGGACAUGCAUAAAGUUUAUCUACCUCUUCUUCCCAACUACUUUUUCUUCCCUUUGUUUUCAUUUGUGUCUUUUUCUUUUUCAUAUCAUGUUUAGAUUUCAUCCAAUUAUAUUCUAAGAAGUAGAUCAAUGGGUAUCAAUUAUUAUAAAUAAUGAAGUAUUGAAUAAUUAGCCCAAAAUAAAAUUCGAGGAGAACUUAAAAGGAUUAAAUCAAUUUAUUAUUGUUAAUUAGUAGUAGUACAAUUUUUCUUCUUUACACUAUUAUAUAUAUCCUUUUAGGCCAAGGAAAUUUAGUAAAUAAAGCAGUGAUCUACAAUUAAAGAGAAGGGUGAGAAGAAUCUAACAAGAUAUAGAAAAACCCAAAAAGAAAAGAAAAGGGGGGGGGGGGCUAUAAUUAAGGUGUAAUCAAGAUUGAAUAAGGGACCAUUUUGAAAAAAAAUGAUCAUAAUUGAGUAUGAUAAGGAAUCUUUACCUAAUUCAAAGAAAGCUUUGAAACAUACAUAAUUUUGAAAUGUUUAGCCACUCUUGUUAAUCUAUAAAUUUGGAUUUUUUUCGAGUUAGAAUCAUAUUCGAGUAUGAAAAAAAUUAUGUUUAAAUUUUAUUUUAUAUUUAAAUAGAGAAGUAAGUGUAAUUGGGAAGACAAAGGGUGAUGGUGAGCACAGCAGGAAAUAAUUAACAAGAAAAUAAAAACAAUGGUAUAUGACUUUUAUUUUAUAUAUAAUAUAUAUAAUUUUGCUAAUAUUAGAUAUUAUCUAGCUUUCAUGAAUUGCUGCAGUGCAGCUUUUAUUUUUCUUUUAAUUUUUUUAUUAUUAUUCAGAAUGAAUUCAAUUAUUGAGAAAGCAUGGGGAAAAGGUGACAAUAAUUCAUACACUUUUAUGCAUCUGCAAUUUACCAUUUCAAGCUGCUAUAUACUCACAUUGUAGCUUUUUAGAAUUAAAUAAAGAUCAUAUGUUUGUUUAUUUUUAUUUUUUAUUUUUUAUUUAUUUUUUAAAGUUGAGAGAUCUCAUGUGAUCAGGGAGAUUUUUAGUGAUUUCUCAUCAUGAUGAUUCUUAUUGUACAUUCCUUGGUUGAAUGGUACAAUUGCAACUUUAAUCUCUUUCAGAUGUUAAUAUUUCAAAUAUUUAAUCCCUUUUAGACUCUUUAUUGAAUGGAAAAUUUUCAUUUUUAGCUCCCCUUAGGAGUCGAAAAUUCAAUUUAAACCAUUUUAAUACAUACAUUCUAGCUUUUAGCAUACAUAGGCACAUACAUAUAUAUAGUACUCCCAAACACUUGAAAGUGUUAUAAAGUAUCUCAAAUCCAAGAAACAAAGAGUGUGGACGAAAUUUCCCAUCCAUGUGAAUACAAGUUGAAUUUUCUUUUUGGGUUUUUUUUAUAGAGGGGCAAUGAAAAUAGACUAGUGGUGGCACAUCAACACCCUCAAAAGAAAAUCAUACCCUUUUUCAAGUUAAUUAUUAUUGUCAUUAAAAGAAAGCAAUAGUGGAAAAUUUUCUUUUAAUUUUUUUUUUUCUUUUUAUCCCUUUCAAACUAUUCUAUGUAAGCAAAAAAUGCAAGUACUAAAUCCACAAGUGAGAUUUUGUGGGGGAAGGAUGAAGGGAGGGCAGCGGUUCAUGUUUUUGUACACAUUUGAAUCGAUAUAUACAUACAUAUAUUCGUUGUAGUUUCACGUUGGUGAUUCACUAACAAUUAGAUCAUGAAUAUGGCUUUUUGUUUGUUGUUGUAUUCUUGCUAUUGAAUCCGGUGUUGGUGGUCCGAAUAAAAUGUUGAAAAGUUAAGAGUUAAAUGUGAAGAUUUUGUUUUGAAAAAGUUUAACUUGAAUAUUUGAUAAUUCAAAGGGAUUAAAAUUGAUAUUUCUCCAUUCAACAAAAGGGAUUCAAUGAAGGAUUCAAUUGAAUUUUUUGAACCAUUUAUAAUAAUUUGAUUCAGUUCGAAUCCGAGUUUUUCAUAUUAAUUCUGAGUUUUGAGGUUUUGAACUCAUUUUGACAAAAUGAGUUUUAUUUUAAGACGUUUGACAAGUAAAUAAAAAAUAAUCAAUAACUCUUAUAUAGAUUUUUUAAAUAUUAUAUAUAAUUUUCGAGGCAUUGUAACUAGGAUAAUUAUGCUGGAGUAAAAACUUCAUAAACGGGUUUAAGAUAAUGCCAAGUGUUUUUAAUUAUUUAAUUAUUAUUUUAUUAUACUCUAAAAACAACUUAAUCAAUCCUGACCCACUUAAGUUUUUUACUCCAUUAGCAGUGUAUAGAUAAUUAUCAUUUUAACUAUUUUAAAUAUAAAAUAUUUAUUUGUACAUAAUAAAAAUUAAAUUAGUUAUAAAUUAAAUAAAAAUAGACUUCCGUUAGACUAAAAUAACCAUGAUUUUUUAAUUUGUACUUUAUAAACCAAUCAAACACUUCAUUUUGGAUCAAUUUUCAAUUUCUCAAUUUACUCAACCCUAAAUUUCUACAUCUUACUUACCCCUAACUACAUAUCUACUCGAAAAUUUUUUACUUAAAUAUCACAUUUAAAAUCGUAAUUUUUUUACUUAAAUAUCACAUUUAAAAUCGUAAUCUUUCUUUUAAAAAGGCAUCGAAAUUUUUACCAUUCUCGGUUGAACGAACACCAGUAACUAAACAAUUAAUAUUCGAUACAACUGGCGCCUGUGAACAAACUGAAAGGGAAAUGGCAAGGGCAAAGCAAUAAUGGCGCCCCCAUGUGUCGUGGGGAAAAAAAAAUUCAGUCACGUCGCUUUUAAGGCAUAACUCUUUGUUCCAACCAUUGGAGCAUUAGGACAGCAAGUGAAACUGAAACAAAGCAGGGGCCUGCCCUUUUAUCCGAUGUGGGAAGUGCGCCCAACUUUGUGCUGACUACCAAGAUGAAAAAGUAAUAUGUAAAUAAUA